rnacentral:rRNA from 1 species
ACUCCUACGGGAGGCAGCAGUGGGGAAUAUUGCACAAUGGGCGCAAGCCUGAUGCAGCCAUGCCGCGUGUAUGAAGAAGGCCUUCGGGUUGUAAAGUACUUUCAGCAGUUAGGAAGGAUGGGUGUGUUAUAGCAUACCUCAUUUUGACGUUAGCUGCAGAAGAAGCACCGGCUAACUCCGUGCCAGCAGCCGCGGUAAUACGGAGGGUGCGAGCGUUAAUCGGAAUUACUGGGCGUAAAGCGCAUGCAGGUGGUUUGUUAAGUCAGAUGUGAAAGCCCGGGGCUCAACCUCGGAAUUGCAUUUGAAACUGGCAAACUAGAGUACUGUAGAGGGGGGUAGAAUUUCAGGUGUAGCGGUGAAAUGCGUAGAGAUCUGAAGGAAUACCGGUGGCGAAGGCGGCCCCCUGGACAGAUACUGACACUCAGAUGCGAAAGCGUGGGGAGCAAACAGGAUUAGAUACCCUGGUAGGAUAGCGU